rnacentral:rRNA from 1 species
AGGACGAACGCUGGCGGCGCGCUUAACACAUGCAAGUCGAGCGAGAACCGGUCCUUCGGGACCGGGGAAAGCGGCGAACGGGUGAGUAACACGUGGGUAAUCAACCCUUGACUCUGGGAUAGCCCGGGGAAACUCGGAUUAAAUACCGGAUGGCCCAACAGCUCUUCGGGGCGGUUGGAAAAGGUAGCUUCGGCCUCCGGUCAGGGACGAGCCCGCGGCGGAUUAGCUUGUUGGUGAGGUAACGGCUCACCAAGGCGACGAUCCGUAGC